rnacentral:rRNA from 1 species
AUUGAACGCUGGCGGCAGGCCUAACACAUGCAAGUCGAGCGAGCGGCGGACGGGUGAGUAAUGUAUGGGGACUGCCAGAUAGAGGGGGAUAACUACUGGAAACGGUGGCUAAUACCGCAUACUAUCGGAUAACCCAUAUGGGAUUCGCGAGGAGGUUGGGUAAAGGCUAACCUAGAGGACGAUCUCUAGCUGGUCUGAGCGGAUGAUAAGCCACACGGGGACGCAGACACGGCCCAGACGCUUUCGGAGGCAGAAGUGGGGAAGUGUGCACCAUGGGCGCAAGUCUGAUGCAGGCAUGCCGCGUGUAUGAAGAAGGCCUUAGGGUGGUAAAGUACUUUCAGCGGUGAGGCGUUACCCGCAGAAGAAGCACCGGCUAACUCCGUGCCAGCAGCCGCGGUAAUUG